rnacentral:tRNA from 1 species
GCCGGUGUGGUGAAAUUGGUAAACACGCGGCACUCAAAAUGCCGUGGGGGCAACCCCUUGUCGGUUCGAGUCCGACCACCGGCACCA